rnacentral:rRNA from 1 species
GCCAGACUCCUACGGGAGGCAGCAGUGAGGAAUAUUGGUCAAUGGGCGGAAGCCUGAACCAGCCAAGUCGCGUGAGGGAAGAAGGCCCUGCGGGUCGCAGACCUCUUUGGACGGGGAGCAAGGCCGCCGACGUGUCGGCGGAAGGAGAGUACCCGUAGAACAAGCAUCGGCUAACUCCGUGCCAGCAGCCGCGGUAAUACGGAGGAUGCGAGCGUUAUCCGGAUUUAUUGGGUUUAAAGGGUGCGCAGGCGGUCUGUUAAGUCAGCGGUCAAAGCCCGGGGCUCAACCCCGUCGUGCCGUUGAAACUGGCGUUCUUGAGUGAGCGAGAAGUAUGCGGAAUGCGUGGUGUAGCGGUGAAAUGCAUAGAUAUCACGCAGAACUCCGAUUGCGAAGGCAGCAUACCGGCGCUCAACUGACGCUCAUGCACGAAAGCGUGGGUAUCGAACAGGAUUAGAUACCCUUGUA